UGCGGGCAGGUAAUAUUUAUACUUCAUAUAAACUUUACAUCUAAAGGUUUUUACUUUUAUGUCUAUGUAUUAGAUUCUUUGUAUCCCAUGAAGAUUACAGAAUUGUGUUUUACAUUUUGGUGAGUAGACUGCUUUGAUGCAAGAUUGUCAACAUGGUCACUGGGAAGUUGUUCAAAUUCUCAUUCUUUUCAAAACUAAUGUUAGAUUUUUAUUACUGUAGUUUUAUAAAUCUUAUUUGAUAGAUAAGAUUGGUGAUGAGUUUUUGGGCAACCUAACUAUAGAUGCAGAGUUGAUUAUUUGAAUCGAGGUACUACUCAUCACGUGGCUGCUUUGAAUAGUGAUACCUGGUGUAUUUGCCUUCUCCUGGCUGAUUAUAUUCCUAGCUCCUCACUAUUUGGUAAAAUCCUAAGAAAAAAAUGUAAGGAUGAAUUUAAUAUAAGAAGUAAGUUCUUCUCAAAUUCUCUUACACUUUUUUCAUUAAAUAUUUUCCAACGUGCUCUACUUGAGCUUUGUUUUUCUUUUGAUUACCUAGCUUGAGUCAUCCAUUAAGUUACUUUUCUGUCCUAUUGAUGUGUAUGUUAGUGCUUUGUCUCAGAUAAUUAAUAGCCUUGCUGAUGGCGGGGUGCUCUGCAUAUGGCUGCAUUGAAAGUGUACAAUUGCUUCUAGAUUUUGGGGGUUCUGUUUCUGUAGUAACUGCAUGUGGAAGAUGGAACUACAAUCGACUUAAUUGAUGACAACUAAAACUGGGUUGGACUUCAAUGACUAAAUUAUUAUGUUGGAAACCAAAUAUCAUCAGUUCUUUACCAACAGGUAAUUAAGAGGAAGGGAUUAGUGCCGAAUGUAGAACCGUAACAGAUAUAAGAUCUUAGUGAAUGAAAUAGGUGACUCAAGACACGUUUUUGAGUGGUUCAAAGGUAAGGAGAUAAUGGGCUGCACGGCCCAACCCAGUCGUGGGUGUCUGAAUACGCACGUUCUUGCAGCGUGUCCGAGAAGUUAGGGAGAUAUCGGACACAUGAUGUCAGAUAUAUGCACGUUUAUCUUGCGUGUGUUGACUUUACAAGGGGUCAUAGCCUCCAUAUCUAGCUCGUACCACGAGCUGUGCAUCUGACCCGACCUUCGGCCUUCUGAUUCCUUGCUCCAGUCUUGGGAGUCUUGGCGAGUCCUUGAGGAUUCCUCGAGCUAAGGGGGGUACGACCUCAAGACAGGAGCUCCGACCUGGGGGAUGUUUACGGACUAACCAUGAUUAGUCCGAAGCUCGGCCUGCUAAUCAGCCCGUGGGAAAAUCAGGGCGCACAGAUUGUUAUGAUGUCUCUUUGCAUAUUAAGAGAAAGACUAGGAGGAAUGAAAAAAGUUAUGGAAAAUUAGUCUUCAUUGGUAGAGUGCGGCUUUUAUAUUAUAAGAAUGAUGGAGUAUUGCUUGCAUGGGGCAUCCAUCCGAUGGCUAACUAGUAAUUGUUGAUAAGAACACAUAAUUGUGAGGAAAUCAAUGGAAGCCUAAAUAAAUGUGCAAUUAAGCUUCUUGAGCGGAUGAGCCGAAGCUAGGGUAACUUUUGAAAUUAGUAUUAAAAAACAAACUAAUUAUAGUUAAGGCAUGCACUUAUAGAGUUAAGGCAAAGAUUCUUACAUAAUUUUUUUUUUUGCAAGAAUGUAUUUACAUUUUAAUCUUGUAAAGAUAAUUACAUAGUUAAGACUGAUGUAUUUACAUAGUUAAGGCAAGAAUCAUACAUUUUAAUUUUUUAAUUUUGUAAGUUUAGCUUUAUAAUAUAAUAAAUUAUGUUGAUUUUGUA